rnacentral:rRNA from 1 species
AUGAACGCUGGCGGCGUGCCUAAUACAUGCAAGUCGAGCGAACAGACGAGGAGCUUGCUCCUCUGACGUUAGCGGCGGACGGGUGAGUAACACGUGGAUAACCUACCUAUAAGACUGGGAUAACUUCGGGAAACCGGAGCUAAUACCGGAUAAUAUAUUGAACCGCAUGGUUCAAUAGUGAAAGACGGUUUUGCUGUCACUUAUAGAUGGAUCCGCGCCGCAUUAGCUAGUUUGUAAGGUAACGGCUUACCAAGGCAACGAUGCGUAGCCGACCUGAGAGGGUGAUCGGCCACACUGGAACUGAGACACGGUCCAGACUCCUACGGGAGGCAGCAGUAGGGAAUCUUCCGCAAUGGGCGAAAGCUUGACGGAGCAACGCCGCGUGAGUGAUGAAGGUCUUCGGAUCGUAAAACUCUGUUAUUAGGGAAGAACAAAUGUGUAAGUAACUAUGCACGUCUUGACGGUACCUAAUCAGAAAGCCACGGCUAACUACGUG